rnacentral:lncRNA from 1 species
AUGGCUAUUUCUCCCCAGGAUAUGGAACAAGAAUUUGACUCAGCUGAAGAUAUUCAGGAGGAGAUAGAGCAAGAGUUAUCUUCAAGGGAGGAAGACAAGGAAUCAUACCUUACUGAGGAGUUCUCGAAACAACUUGAUGACAAUUUCCCUGAAGACGACCUGGAUGAUAUGCCUUCACUGCAAAGCAUUUCUCCUAUUACCAACAAAGUUGCCUCUGCCGAGGAAUGGGAGAUUGAAAGCAUUAGCAGUGACUGGGAGGACUAUGGUGCAGGACCAUCAUCACUGGCCCGUUGA